UGGUGGGUGCUUUCACAUGCAAGUCGGACGGCAGCGAGGUGGUGCUUGCCCACUGUCGGCGAGUGGCGAACGGGUGAGUAAUGCAUUGGAACGUACCGAGUAGUGGGGGAUAACUGUCCGAAAGGAUAGCUAAUACCGCAUACGACCUGAGGGUGAAAGCGGGGGACUUUUAUGAGCCUCGCGCUAUUUGAGCGGCCAAUGUCUGAUUAGCUAGUUGGUGGGGUAAAGGCCUACCAAGGCGACGAUCAGUAGCGGGUCUGAGAGGAUGAUCCGCCACACUGGGACUGAGACACGGCCCAGACUCCUACGGGAGGCAGCAGUGGGGAAUUUUGGACAAUGGGGGGAACCCUGAUCCAGCCAUGCCGCGUGUCUGAAGAAGGCCUUCGGGUUGUAAAGGACUUUUGUACGGGAAGAAAAGGCGAUUGCUAAUAUCAGUUGCUGAUGACGGUACCGUAAGAAUAAGCACCGGCUAACUACGUGCCAGCAGCCGCGGUAAU
rnacentral:rRNA from 1 species